rnacentral:tRNA from 1 species
GUGGCCGUAGCUCAGCUUGGUUAGAGCAGCCGGUUGUGGUCCGGCAGGUCGAGGGUUCGAGUCCCUUCGGUCACC